rnacentral:rRNA from 1 species
UACGAAGGGGGCUAGCGUUGCUCGGAAUCACUGGGCGUAAAGGGUGCGUAGGCGGUUCUUUAAGUCAGGGGUGAAAUCCUGGAGCUCAACUCCAGAACUGCCUUUGAUACUGAGGAUCUUGAGUUCGGGAGAGGUGAGUGGAACUGCGAGUGUAGAGGUGAAAUUCGUAGAUAUUCGCAAGAACACCAGUGGCGAAGGCGGCUCACUGGCCCGAUACUGACGCUGAGGUGCGAAAGCGUGGGGAGCAAACAGG